rnacentral:rRNA from 1 species
AGUAACUGCGAGUGAAGCGGGAAAAGCUCAAAUUUAAAAUCUGGUGGUCUUUUGGCCAUCCGAGUUGUAAUUUAGAGAAGCGUCUUCCGCGCUGGACCGUGCACAAGUCUCCUGGAACGGAGCGUCAUAGAGGGUGAGAAUCCCGUCUUUGGCACGGACCCCCCAGGGCUUUUGUGAUGCGCUCUCGAAGAGUCGAGUUGUUUGGGAAUGCAGCUCAAAAUGGGUGGUGAACUCCAUCUAAAGCUAAAUAUUGGCGAGAGACCGAUAGCGAACAAGUACCGUGAGGGAAAGAUGAAAAGCACUUUGGAAAGAGAGUGAAACAGUACGUGAAAUUGUUGAAAGGGAAACGCUUAAAGUCAGUCGCGUCCGCCGAGACUCAGCCUCGCUUCGGCUUGGUGUAUUUCUCGGUCGACGGGUCAGCAUCGAUUUCGUCCCUCGGAUAAUGGCAAGGGAAAGGUGGCACCUUUGCGGGUGUGUUAUAGUCUUUUGUCGCAUGCGAGGGCUGAGAUCGAGGAACUCAGCACGCGCGCCCUCGGGUGUGUCGGGGCCUCGGCCCACGCCACGUGCUUAGGAUGCUGGCGUAAUGGCUUUAAACGACCCGUCUUGAAACACGGACCAAGGAGUCUAACAUGCCCGCGAGUGUUCGGGUGGAAAACCCGUGCGCGUAAUGAAAGUGAAAGUUGGGACCUUCGUCGUGAAGGGCACCGACGCCCGGACCAGACCUUCUGUGACGGAUCUGCGGUGGAGCGUGCAUGUUGGGACCCGAAAGAUGGUGAACUAUGCCUGAAUAGGGUGAAGCCAGAGGAAACUCUGGUGGAGGCUCGUAGCGAUUCUGACGUGCAAAUCGAUCGUCAAAUUUGGGUAUAGGGGCGAAAGACUAAUCGAACCAU